rnacentral:rRNA from 1 species
AUGAACGCUGGCGGCAUGCCUUACACAUGCCAGUCGAACGGCAGCAUGACCUAGCUUGCUAGGUUGAUGGCGAGUGGCGAACGGGUGAGUAAUGCAUCGGAACGUGCCUUUUAGUGGGGGAUAACGUAGCGAAAGUUACGCUAAUACCGCAUAUUCUCUGAGGAGGAAAGCAGGGGACCUUCGGGCCUUGCGCUAGAAGAGCGGCCGAUGUCGGAUUAGCUAGUUGGUGAGGUAAAGGCUCACCAAGGCAACGAUCCGUAGCGGGUCUGAGAGGAUGAUCCGCCACACUGGGACUGAGACACGGCCCAGACUCCUACGGGAGGCAGCAGUGGGGAAUUUUGGACAAUGGGCGCAAGCCUGAUCCAGCCAUGCCGCGUGAGUGAAGAAGGCCUUCGGGUUGUAAAGCUCUUUCGGCUGGGAAGAAAUCGCACCCUCUAAUACAGGGUGUGGAUGACGGUACCAGCAUAAGAAGCACCGGCUAACUACGUG